GUUGAAGGGAUGCAUAGUACCCAUUGAUAGAUUUAUUAAAAUGUGAGAAAUAUGAUUUUAUUUUGCACCAAACAUUAGUCAAUAUCCUGUUAACAAUUUCAUCUAAUUUAUUUAAUUUAUUCUAACAGCCGCAACACCACACAAAAGAAAAUGUGUCUGUCGUCACGAGGGAAGAGUCUAUGUGCCAGGUAAAGAAUGCAAUACUAGAAUCAGAGGAACUUCACAAUAGCCAGGCAGAACACUGCCGUUACCUAUAGUUGAUAUGAUCAAGAACAAGCAAUUAGCUUUCUUUUCUUUCUUCUUGCAGAUCAGGAAAUAGAAAGCAGCCACAGUAGUGAAAAGGAUGGAAAAUGCUACAGUCUUGUGUGUGACAGCAACUGCGAGAAAAGAACAAGCGAGAUAACAUGUCCACCAGUUCGACAACGUACCACAACACCACAUGAAAGAAAAUGUCUCUGUCAUCAUGAUGGAAGAGUGUACAUGCCAGACCAGGAAAUAAUAAGCAGCCACAGUAGUGAAAAGGAUGGAAAAUGCUACAGUCUUGUAUGUGACAGCAACUGCGUGAAAAGAACAAGCGAGAUAACAUGUCCACCAGUUACACCACCAAGUAAGUACUUACAACUACAAGAGGCACUUUAACACUGAGGGAGACUGCAAGAUGCUAAUAGCGGGAAUAGGAAGAAAUAUUACAAAAAAGUGAUGACAUUUUCAUAUGCAUAUUAUUAUCAUGGAGCACCACUGUAUCACUGAGAAAUACAAUAAAAUGUAAGAAAAGUCACCCACACCAUAAUUCCGGAAAAGAAAAUUCCUUUUAUGGUUACACUGUUGGUGUUUGCCAUGUUUAAAAUAAAUGACAAAUAGGCAGGGAUAUGAUACAGAGAAAGGGGAUGUCUACCCAAGGACAAAAAUAAGUGCAAAGUAUCAUAGCUAUAUUUCCAGUAGAUAAUGACCAAGGGAGAAAAAAAAAGUCAAUGUUCCUUUAAUGCAAAGGGCACAGGGAGAUGGCCUUUUAUUUAAAG